UUGCUUGUCUCAAAGAUUAAGCCAUGCAUGUCUAAGUACAAGCGCUCCAAGCGUGAAACCGCGAACGGCUCAUUAUAACAGCUAUAAUUCACUUGACGUUGACAGUCCUACUUGGAUAACUGUGGUAAUUCUAGAGCUAAUACAUGCGCAAGAGCCCCCUCUCGCGAGGGGGUGCAUUUAUUGGAGCAAAACCAAGCGGCCUCGGCCGCCCAGCGUUGACUCAGAAUAACUCAGCUGAUCGCACGGUCUCGCACCGGCGACGUGUCUUUCAAGUAUCUGCCUUAUCAACUUUCGAUGGUAGUGUAUCUGCCUACCAUGGUGGUGACGGGUAACGGAGGAUCAGGGUUCGACUCCGGAGAAGGGGCCUGAGAAAUGGCCACUACGUCUAAGGAUGGCAGCAGGCGCGCAAAUUACCCACUCUCGGCGCGAGGAGGUAGUGACGAGAAAUAACGAGGUCUGCCCCACUGGGGUUGGCCAUCGGAAUGGGUGCAACCUAAACCACUCAACGAGUAUGUAUGAGAGGGCAAGUCUGGUGCCAGCAGCCGCGGUAAUUCCAGCUCUCAAAAUGCAUAGAAUUAUUGCUGCGGUUAAAAAGCUCGUAGUUGGAUCUCUGCCGGGGCGCGCGGUGCGCCCUCGGGCGCCACUGCGCGUCCCGGCUUGUGCCGGGGGCGGGGACGAACAGUCCCAGCCGCCGGCGGUUUACUUUGAACAAAUCAGAGUGCUCAACACAGGCGUCUCGCCUGAAUGUUCGUGCAUGGAAUAAUGGAAGAGGAUUUCGGUUCUGUUUUAUUGGUUUUUGGACGCCGAGGUAAUGGUUAAUAGAGACAAACGGGGGCAUUCGUACCGCUGCGUGAGAGGUGAAAUUCUUGGACCGCAGCGAGACGCACGACAGCGAAAGCAUUUGCCAAGCGUGUCUUCAUUAAUCAAGAACGAAAGUCAGAGGUUCGAAGGCGAUCAGAUACCGCCCUAGUUCUGACCGUAAACGAUGCCAACUAGCGAUCCGGCGGCGGUCACUACGCCCCGCCGGGGAGCUUCCCGGAAACGAAAGUCUUCCGGUUCCGGGGGAAGUAUGGUUGCAAAGCUGAAACUUAAAGGAAUUGACGGAAGGGCACCACCAGGAGUGGAGCCUGCGGCUUAAUUUGACUCAACACGGGGAAACUCACCCGGCCCGGACACCGCGAGGAUUGACAGACCGACAGCUCUUUCAUGAUUCGGUGGAUGGUGGUGCAUGGCCGUUCUUAGUUCGUGGAGCGAUUUGUCUGGUUUAUUCCGAUAACGAGCGAGACUCCAGCCUGCUAAAUAGUCCGGGCGCUGCCACUGCGCCCGCCGACUUCUUAGAGGGAUCAUCGGCUCACAGCCGCACGACACGGAGCAAUAACAGGUCUGUGAUGCCCUUAGAUGUCCGGGGCUGCACGCGCGCUACACUGGCGAAGGCAGCGUGCCUGUCCUCUCCCGACGGGGACGGGUAAACCAUUCAAAAUUCGCCGUGAUUGGGAUCGGAGAUUGCAAUUAUUCUCCGUGAACGAGGAAUUCCAAGUAAGUGCGAGUCAUCAACUCGCGUUGAUUACGUCCCUGCCCUUUGUACACACCGCCCGUCGCUGCCCGGGACUGAGCCAUUUCGAGAAAUCCGGGGAGCCGUGGGUCGUCGCUUCGGCUACUACCUGCGGCAAACCAGCUUAAUCGCAGUGGCUUGAACCGGGCAAAAGUCGUAACAAGGUAGCUGUAGGUGAACCUGCGAGGAUCAA
rnacentral:rRNA from 1 species